AAUCAUCGGCGAUCGGUUGGUUCCCGGAAUGCGAGCGCAUUUCGGGAGUAAACGGGAAUGUGACGGAUGGACCCAAGCUGGGCAUCUCAAUCACGGCCGACCCCGCGACUGUAGAGCGGCGUGAACUUGCCGUUCCGGAGCGAUCCGGAAAAAGCCACUGGGAAGACGACUGCGAGAGGGCAGUUCGACCUGGGAAGGCGAGGCAAGUUCCUCGAUGACGGAAGCUCGGCGCCUUCAAACGGAGGUGCAACGAAUGCUUCAGCCACCUGACGCCGCGAGCCAGGAAACCUGCCAAUCGAUGCGGGCAUAG
rnacentral:ncRNA from 1 species